rnacentral:rRNA from 1 species
UACGAAGGGGGCUAGCGUUGCUCGGAAUCACUGGGCGUAAAGGGUGCGUAGGCGGGUCUUUAAGUCGGGGGUGAAAUCCUGGAGCUCAACUCCAGAACUGCCUUCGAUACUGGAGAGCUCGAGUCCGGGAGAGGUGAGUGGAACUGCGAGUGUAGAGGUGAAAUUCGUAGAUAUUCGCAAGAACACCAGUGGCGAAGGCGGCUCACUGGCCCGAUACUGACGCUGAGGCACGAAAGCGUGGGGAGCAAACAGG